rnacentral:rRNA from 1 species
GGGUCAGUAGGUUGGUCGUGCCACCGGUACGUACUGGUCUCACUGAUUCCUCCUUCCUGAAGAACCGUAAUGCCAUUAAUUUGAUGUUGCGGGGAAACAGGACUGUUACUUUGAAAAGAUUAGAGUGUUUAAAGCAAGCUAACGCUUGAAUACAUUAGCAUGGAAUAAUGAAAUAGGACGAUCGAUCCUAUUUUGUUGGUUUCUAGGAUUGACGUA